UACGUACGAGGCGAGCGUUAUCCGGAAUUACUGGGCGUAAAGCGCGCGCAGGUGGAGCUGUAAGUUGGGCGUGAAAUCUCCCGGCCUAACUGGGAGGGGUCGCCCAAGACUGCAGGUCUUGAGGACAGCAGAGGUUGGUGGAAUUCCUGGUGUAGUGGUGAAAUGCGUAGAGAUCAGGAGGAACACCGGUGGCGAAGGCGGCCAACUGGGCUGUCACUGACGCUGAGGCGCGAAAGCUCGGGGAGCGAACGGG
rnacentral:rRNA from 1 species